AUUGAACGCUGGCGGCAGGCCUAACACCUGCAAGUCGAGCGAGCGGCGGACGGGUGAGUAAUGUCUGGGAAACUGCCUGAUGGAGGGGGAUAACUACUGGAAACGGUAGCUAAUACCGCAUACCAUCAGAUGUGCCCAGAUGGGAUGAGCUAGUAGGUGGGGUAACGGCUCACCUAGGCGACGAUCCCUAGCUGGUCUGAGAGGAUGACACGCCACACUGGAACUGAGAGACUGUCCAGACGGCUACGGUAGGCAGGAGGGGGGAAUAUUGCACAAUGGGCGAAAUCCUGAUGCAGCCAUGCCGCGUGUAUGAAGAAGGCCUUCGGGUUGUAAAGUACUUUCAGCGUGGAGGCGUUACCCGCAGAAGAAGCACCGGCUAACUCCGUGCCAGCAGCCGCGGUAAUUC
rnacentral:rRNA from 1 species